rnacentral:lncRNA from 1 species
ACUUUAUACGAAUCUUACUAUGGUUGUUUAGUUAUGGAAUGCUCUUUUUAUUUUAAACAUUUCCGUGCUGACAUACCUGACUGUGUUUUGUUCCUUUGUCUAUCUCUAACGAAGGGCUUUUAAUUUAUCUUCCUUUUCUUUUUUUGUUCUUUCCUGUUUUUAGUACCCUCUGAUUGUUGCCCUCAUCAAUAAUGUAUGUUGUUAUUCCUUCUGCGUCUUCCUCUUCUUAUUCUGUUUCUCCAUCUUCUUUGGUGAUUUUUGGAGUGGAAGGAAAAAAUGGUCGGUGUCUGAUGGGUAUGGAGUUUGUAGUAGAGCUGGUGGUGGUGCUU